rnacentral:tRNA from 1 species
GGGGAUAUAGCUCAGUUGGGAUGAGCGCUUGAAUGGCAUUCAAGAGGUCAGGGGUUCGAGCCCCCUUAUCUCCA